CUCUGUGACUCCUACGGGAGGCAGCAGUGGGGAAUAUUGCACAAGUGGGGGAAACCCUGAUGCAGCCAUGCCGCGUGUGUGAAGAAGGCCUUCGGGUUGUAAAGCACUUUCAGUAGGGAGGAAGGUAGUGUAGUUAACACCUGCAUUAUUUGACGUUACCUACAGAAGAAGCACCGGCUAACUCCGUGCCAGCAGCCGCGGUAAUACGGAGGGUGCGAGCGUUAAUCGGAAUUACUGGGCGUAAAGCGCAUGCAGGCGGCCUGUUAAGUCAGAUGUGAAAGCCCCGGGGCUUAACCUCGGAAUUGCAUUUGAAACUGGCAGGCUAGAGUCUUGUAGAGGGGGUAGAAUUUCAGGUGUAGCGGUGAAAUGCGUAGAGAUCUGAAGGAAUACCAGUGGCGAAGGCGGCCCCCUGGACAAAGACUGACGCUCAGAUGCGAAAGCGUGGGGAGCAAACAGGAUUAGAUACCCUGGUAG
rnacentral:rRNA from 1 species